rnacentral:lncRNA from 1 species
AUGAAUCCCCCGCCAUCCACUUCCACACCAGGCUUUCUCCAGAGGCCGGAAGCCAUUUCCCUAGCAACAGAGCUGGAGACCCAGAGUGGAAGUAAUGGCUUCCUGGGUAGGAGGGGCUUCCUGGCCGACUUGUCACUCCAGAGCCACAGCGCCUGCUUGUCUGUCUUUGGCACCCAGAGCAAGCCCAGAAGUUGGCCUUUCCCAUCAAAUACCACAGAGCUAAGAACCCCAGGGGCAGGUGGGUGCAGUGCCUCAGGCUCAGGGGCAGAUGAGAGGUCAUGCCUAAGUACCAGCUAUGAGGCAUGCCUCAUGCAUAAUUACAAAGAGGCCUAUAAAAGAUGUACAAAUUACCACAAAGUAAGUGCUUAAUUGCCUAGGAACACCAAACUCAUGGGCACUGCAGCAGAGCUCAUUCUCAAACCUCCGGCCACAGCUGGUGCCGCAGUGCACUGCAUUGCUCUUUCCAUUUGGGGGCCAGUAGAGUACCAGGUACUAACAACAGCCUCUCCAGGGCAAAGUCUGUGCAGCUCAUUUGAGAAAUGAGGGAUUAAAAUGAAGCUUCUAGGAGGUAGAGUGACCAUAGAGACCAUGGUACAGGGUACCCUGCCCAGUGCACUGUCUUCAGUUUUUUCCUGUCGGCCCUGGACUAUCUGUUGUAGGGAGACACCCUAGCCCCGCCCCAGGCAACCCGGACAGGUGCCAGGUGGACCGAGGACUCGCCUAUGAGGGCAGGGUGAAGGGAAGUCGGGGUGACAUAAGGGAAGGUUCUUAAGGGCUGCACGCGGAGACCUUGGCCCUUCUCUCUUCUGCUCCCCCGACUACCUGCGCUGGUUCCAGCUCCCUCCCUCUCGCUUGAUUGGUGUAUGUCAAUAAAGACAACCUUGGCACUAUCGG